GGAGGGGCGGCGGGGCCGCUCCCGGUACCCAACCCCGCGGCGGGGACACAGCGCCUGGGCCACGGGGCGGUCGGGCCUGGAAGGGGCAUCUCGAGAUCAUCCAGUCUAAUCCUACUCUUAAAGCAGAGUCACUUAGAGCAGGUUGCACAGGAUAGAGGGAGAAGGAGGCUCCUCCUUCAGGAAUGGUCAGGCCACGAGAGAAGCGUUUACCUUAUGAAAGGGAAAGAACCCUUGUCGGUGUUGUAGAUAGGAAAACCUAUCAAUGCUCGGCCCGUCCUUUUCUAUUCUUGUUCUUGUUCUUUUGUCGUUGCAGAAGACUCGUGAUUUCACGGUCUUUGAUUUUCCUACUCACUGCCCUCUUUUGCUAUCCCAUCUAUGUUGUACUUUACCCUUCUAUUUUUCCUACGUUUAUAUCUAUAUCUGUAGGAUAUAUAUAUAUAUUAUAUAGGAGUAGGGAAUUCCCUAAAUUCCCCCAUAGCUCUGUGUGCUGUGGGCUAAGACUCUUAUCCACUGGAUUCAUAGUUUCAGCUGUCCCUGACAAGUGUGGUGGAGGUAUUUGUCUCUCUGCAAAAUAGCUGCAGAGUGUUGGAGUUCUCUUUGCUGGUCUAAAUUUUGUCAACUUUUAUUUGCGGGUUUUUUUAAAAAAAAUUGAGAUCUAAGUGUAUGUGAUUGUCUCCUUGCUAUGUUACAUUUUUUAAGUGCAGCCAGAUGGCAGUGAAACCUUUGCUAUGCAGUUCAGUUACAAAAAAAUAUUUUGAACCAUGUCCCAGUUUGUGCUUCCGUUUAUUUCUGUUCAGUAUUUUCAGUCUAAAUAAUAUGAGGUGUUUGAAUGAGAAUGCAUAUGUAUCACAGAUCUGUGUGAAAACACUACUUAAAAUAUGGCUUCUGAUGUAAGCCAUCCGCAAAUUGAAGUUUAUAAGAAUUGAAUUGUAUCAAGUGAAUAUCUAAUCAUGAAUUUUUUUUUAAUGUAAGCAGAACUUUAUAGAAGUUACAACCACAUCCUGCAUUAUAGUGUAGAAAAAUUUUAUGAAUGGCCAGGCUUGAUGAGGCAGACUGGGUUCUAAACUGUGCUUAAGGUAGCCUGGAAGUCCAUGAAUAAUAGAUAGGAGGACUCAUCCAAAAAUAUUAUUAAGGAGAAAGGUCUCGACUGAGUGACACUUUUUUGCCCCACGUCUUUACAAGAAAAAAAAAAAACAACAAAAAAACAAUGCUUGGAGUCUGGGCAAGUUUGCCUUGGUCCUGGGAGCGUGUUGCUUGCUCUGUAGAUAGUCAGUUGGCCAACCUUCGUGCAUUCUUGGUUGCUGAUUAGUCCUGCUCUGCGUUGGGCAUUUCUUCCUGACUUUGGAAGAUAAAGCUGAAAUAAACUGGAAUUAUUUACCUUUUUAUCUCGAUUGAGAGCAGGAGUGGAGGCUGCUUUGUUGUCCACAGAAAGAAACACAGAGCUUCUUUCGGAGCUAAUAAAAAAAAUUCUCUCCGAUGAAGUUUUGGUGUUAAAAUGAGUAUUUUUAUUAGGAGAAAACUAUUGCUUUAAGUGAGGUGUUUCCCAGCCCACUCUCACUUAGAACAGCUGUCUCUCUCACAGUGAUUAAGGUCUGUAAUUUUAAAGGCUGUUAUGAUGAGUGUUUACAAUGAAGCUCUAUUUUUGAUUGUGUGUUUUGCUGUACAGUGUGGGGGCUGUGGAAUUUUGCCAUUGCUUUUUACUGCAUUCCAGACAACCUUGGCGUUUUAUUUUGUUUGAAACUGAAUUUCCUCUGAUGAAAUUCCAGCAGCGGCAUGACUGUGGGCUGUUGCUCUUGUUAUUUGUGGAGAAUGUGAACUACAGCUCCCUGUAUCUGUUGUUUCCAUUUUGCUUUGCAGAGUCAAGGCUGGUGUGAGAUGUUCCCUCAGCAGCACUGGCCACACAGUCAUGGUGGGUCACACAGCUGCCAGGGGGCUGGGUCAGCCAGGCACCAGCAUCAACACGUGUCUAAAACGGUGGCCUGAUGUCUGCUGAGGCACACUGUGACAAAACCUUGACUUCCUCAUCUAUAACUCAUUUAGCAAAGAGCUGCAGCACUUCAAGGGUUCACUGACCUUCUGCCAGAAGUUGCAAAGAGGUAGCAAGGGAGUGAGAGCAAGAGGUAGCAAGAGUGUGGAGUGAUCCACACUCACUUCAUUGUAGUCCAGUGGCAGCCAAACAACCAGAAGCAGAAGCCUGAGGGAGACCCCUGAACUUCAAGCGGAAAAGGCUGAGGGUCACUCAAAUUCUGUUCUCCCAGCUUUGCUGAUAAGUCAGGGACCUCUACCUGAGGGGAGGUGACAAACAGGUGAGGGGAGUUAAAUCAGUCAGUUACAGCUAAAACUCUGCAGCUGUUUGCCCUCGUCUACAACUUCAGUGCUAGUUCUUGUUACCUGUUGCCAUAUCUCCUGCUUGUAAACUGCUCAUCAGUUGCUGAAACUGCUUUUGCCGUGAGGAUCUUGAAAUACCACAUGGAAUCAUAGAAGAAGAGGGAAAAGAUGAUGAAUGUCCAGGUUUUCUGAGAAUUAAGGGCAGCCUGUUAUAUUUUGUCUAUCCAGGAAGGCUUUUGAUAGGACUCUUCAAAGAUGUAAUGAAAAUUGCAGAGGUUUAAGGCUGGUGAAAAUUACUGUGCAUGUGGCUGGAGCUUUGUACCUUGUGAUUAUGAUGAUUAAGUGGGAACUCCUUUGUGUGUGAAGUGUGAUAGCAGCAUGUUCUUUGCAGUGUGACUUGCAUAGCUGCAGUUUAUCUUCACAGUGGAGUGCCUUUUUGGUUAGAAAACUUUUCUGCUUGCACUGUUGAGUAGCUGAUUUAAAAUUAAAUAAACACCCCCACAAAAGUAAUCUCUGUUGGGGACUGAAAAAUCUAGUGAAAGGCACAUUGGAAGAAUGAUAUUCUGGACAGCAUAAUCUGGACUAUGCUCUAGGGGUUAUGUGAUCAAGCUGAACAGUUUACCAGUGGUUGUAAAAAGAUAUAAGGAAAGCAUAGUCUCUGAACUGUGAUGAAAUGCCUUCUGUGAUACCUGUCAGAGCUCCACUGACAUUAGGAGGGAAAGGUAAGAUUCACUGAUGAGAGAGACAAUAGUGGAUCACUUUAACAGGCCCUUAACUGUGCAGGAUGCCUGGACUUUUGAAGAAAAUUAAAAAUAUUCUUUGUUCUUGCUUCAUAGCAACAGUAUUUUCACACUUUAAUGUCCCUGGUCACCUUAUCUAUGCUUGCUUUUGUUGUGGCUGAUCAAAUCAACCCUAAAUUAUAUAAACCUACAGAGCUAGUAGUGUGAUAUAAGCUCAAAAUGUACUAGACAGUAUUAGAGCUGUAUGUUUUCUAGAGAUGUCAAAUGUGUAAUUAGAAUUUAGUUACUAACAUGAUGAUUAAAAUUCAGCACUUGUUUUAUGCGUAAUUUAUAUAGAAGUGUUGCUUACAGAGUGAGAAAUGAGGUAGGUGGACUAACAAAAUUUUGCAAUCAAAGUUGCAAUUUAAGAUAGUCCAUAAUUAGCGUGCUCUCCAAAUUGGUCAUGCACACACUUCAGGAAUUAUAGUGAGGAAUAAGAAAUGCUGCUGUGUUUAAAUUACUUGUGAAUUUGUGGAAAUAAUACUUUCAGGUAGUUAAGAACUGUUGCAUUCACAGUUUGUGCUACUCAUUAUAAAUCCCAUAACACUGUUGUGUGGAUACAUCUUGUAAUUAAUCACUGUAGUUCAAGCAAGGAAUUUUAGAGGAAUGUUUAUGUUAGUACUUAGUUUUUGAUGACUGUUCACUUAGAAAAGUACCUCUUGGGGUUUAUUGUUGCAAUCCCCACAUCACUGUGUUUGUGAGAGAAAAGUAUGAAUAGUAUUGAAAGUGCCAUUGCUGGUUUAUUUUGUGCUCAUUCUCUUUUUGGAUCUGCUUAGGUCCCCCAAAACAGUUUAGGUCAAUGUUCCCUGUAGAUUGAGAAUGACAGUACUUGGGAAUACUUAGGAAACAAUCCCCUCUCAUGUACAUAAUUAAAUGGCUUAAUAGAGGUGUAUAAUUCCUCCAGGUCCUUUAAUGGACCGUGGUAAGAAACACACAAAAGGCCUAAGUGGAGCCUCCCUAAAAGUUCUUUUCUUUGCAUUGCCUGGGUGCCACAUGCAGAUUACACCUGUGUGGUGUCUGAAGUGAGAUGAAAAGGAUGGUGGCCAUUGCAGUUCUACAAAGCUGGAAGGACCUGAGAGCAUCUUUCAUGGAGACGAUAUGGUUCAAUCAUCUCUUCAAAGAAUUUCCAGCUGAAACAGGAAUUACAAAGGAGGCCUUGCUGCAGGAGACCUGAGGGAGUUUCUCUUGUGUCAGUGUGUCUUUCUCUGAGCACUUUGUGCUGACAGACCUCACUAGGAAGUGAAAUAGGAGACUGGGCACAGGCUGGACUUUAUGGCCAGGAAGUCAUGAGUCUGUAGAUCUUCCUGAUACCUGUGGGAGUUGCAUGCACAGCCAGAUGUAAUAGUCUCUGCAGGUGAAAAUUCUGAAAAUACAUGUCUGUGUACAAGCAUGGCUUCAGAUAUUGAGUGUGCUGGCUUUUUUGAAGAAUCCACAGAUGCCCCUUUUUCCUUCUUCAAAAUCAUUUUCUUUAAUGGUGGCUUCCAGUGCCAGUCUCUCCUGCUCCAGCUUCUCUAAUUCCUCUGUAUAUUGGAAAAGGUCUCAGAAGAGCAUGUUUAUCCUCAGAAUUAGCACUCUAACAGUUUUGGAGGAACCACUGCAAAGGGAGCUGAAUUACUUGCCAAACCCUAACUCUGCAAAUCAGUGACAAAGCCGAAAAUGGAGCCUGGGUGUCAGUGUUGUUUAAAUAUAUAUUACAUUUGGCACGAAGACUUCAACUAAAUUUUGUGUCUUUGAAGUAAAACUGAGUAUAAGGAAAUGGAUAGUUUAAUUUUACCUGGAAGACUUUGGGUGCGCUGACAAGAGAUGCUAGAGCUGAUGACAGAGUAGCUGAAAAGAUGCCAGCUGUGAUGAGAGGACCAAAGCCAGACACCAUGCUCAUCACCUUUAUGAAGAAAAGAAGGUAAAAAGAAGAGUCAGUCAUCACCUUUAUGAAAAAAAAAAGGAGAAAGACCCCAUUACUUCUCACUUGAUUUUUCACUCGACUAUUUUUGGAUACUUUUUUUAAAGAAGUCAGAACUCUGUUUUUUGUACCACGACACAAACCUUUAACAGUGACCACAGCACCCCUGAGGUAAAAUCACAUCCAGGUGUCAAGAGCAGUGAGGUGAGUUGCUCAUCUAACAUUUCCUGAAGUCUCUGUUAAGUUUAAGCUUUCAGUUUGAAGAUGUUACAGCAUAUACUGCUGCAUGGUACUUGUUGAAAGAGGAGAUAAAGACUUUACCAGAGUGCUAGGAAGGCUAGUGAUGGGCAGUAUGAAGAUAUUAUGGAAUGCAGGUGAUUUUUGCCUUUCAUUAUUCCUAUAAUUCCUUCCUUUUUUAGAUAAAAGUGGUUGUCCUGUUGCAGUUAGUUGUCUGUAAAUAACGGGUUUGAAUGUUUGUACUUAUGUAUUCGUGUAUUGCUUAUGAUUAUACAUAUUAUGUCAUUAGAACCUGAAAAUUAUUCAUCAGCCCGUAAUCACAUGGCUGACUUGCACAUCUGGAAAAAUCAUAGCCUAGGCCACAGGCAGAUGAUCCAUUGCAGCUCAUUCCAGGUACAAUUGUAUCAUUGAUGUUCCCAGUAGCAUCUCGUACAACACAGGAGGCUGUGGAAACAAUCAUAUAUUAUUAUUUUCAUUCCUUGUGACAUUGGAAGAAUGUUCUUGCCAUUUGACUCUUAAUCUGCACACAUUUUGUCCAACUGCUACCUUUGACUCAUCCCAAGAGCAACGUUUUGUGUUGGGCAGAGAUUACUACCCUGUUCUAUGACUUAGGUUAUCAUGGUGUCUGUAGGCAAAUAUUUCCUUCUGUUACUUUUAGAAUAAUCAGCCAGUUGACUAGUGAGGAUUAGCAUAUUUCUGAGAUUAGGCAAGACAGAAAUCAACAAUAAAUUAACUAACUCAGAAAAUAUAUUGUCCUCUUGUCACUACUUUUACAAGUGCCAGUAUUCAAAGGAAACAGGUCAGUGAGGGUCUUGGGUCUAGGGAUACACAUUUUUCUGUUUAACAAGGACACGCAAUUGCUUUAGAGACCCAGAUCCUCAGCUAUUCAAAUUGUCAUAGCCCUACUGAUACCAAUAUGAUGAAAAACAGGAGAAAUUGCCUAUAUUCUUUUUAUGUUUAUUGAUAUUCAUGUUGUCUUUAUUUGCUUGCCACCAGAAACGAGAAAAAACACGUGGAGGCAACUUGGAGUGCUGAUCUCAACAUCCUUAGUGGCCAAAAUGGGAAAUUUAGAUCCAAAUAAUGCAGUGACCUGAGCUGAGGCUUGAGUCAAGCAUUCUGCCUUUUGCAUAAAGUACAAGAACAACAAAAGUCAAGAAGACUUGAGAGUCAUCUCCCAGAAAAGGAAGUACUCUGCAGGGCUUUCAUGCAGGAUUGAGGUUAUUGAAACAUGCUUUUAAAUGAUACAAUAACCCAAAUCUAACUGCGGUAAUUUCUGUAAAUAGCCACAAUGCUUAUGAGAGAAGAUGUGAACUGAUGUUUUCAAUUAAUAAAUCAGCCUACAGAUAGUAUUAUGAAGUUAAUGAAAUACGUACUUUCAGAUCUCCUGAGAUAUUGGCUCCUGCAAGAAUGCCAGUGGCAGCUGGGAAAAAAAUGGCAAACACCGAAAAAAAUCCUUCUCCACUUCUGAAAUCUGGUCCAAAGUUUUCUGCAAAUAUUGAUGCUGCAAAUACAGCGGUGAUGCCGAGAAGACAGACAACAGUUAUGGUGCCUAUGAUUCUGAUGUCAUUGGACUCAUCUACUAUCAGAGUAUCACUCUCCUGAAAGCAGUGAGAAAUGUUAAUAGUACCGGUGUUUCUCUGCCCAACUGGUGGGAUCAAGUAACAAGCAAAAUCAUUUACUCGUCUUCCAAGGAGUGGCUGAAAUGUAAGAAGUGUUAUAAAGAAGGCAUUAAACUGAAGGCAUCCACUGAUGUGCAUCAGUAUUUAAAAUGAGAGGAAGAGGUGUCUCCAUGCUCAGUUUGUUGAAGGAUGUCCAACCUGGAAUGCUCUGAAUAGGAAAGACCAGCUGAAAGCCGUGCUCUCUCCAUUAGCCAUUCUCUCCACUGAGCCAGUGCUCACAGCAAUGUUCUGGAGAAUCACACAGAAAACAAACACGGUUUUGUGCAAAGCAGAGGACACCUGGCUGCAUAAGAGAGACACAGGAGAAAGGAAUUCCAAAGAAGAUCGAGUUUUACUGCCUCUGGAGUAGAGAGCAAUAUUCUGCUUACACCAGGCAUCAGCAGAAUGGUUUAGUCUUCAUCUCUCCUGGGGCUAAAGAUGAUGAGCUCAUCAAGUCUCCGUAACAAGUGUGGAGAAUAGCCAAGAGGAAGAAAGGUUAGAUUAUUUCUUAUGUAGGGUAAAUAUUAAGCCCAAGUAAUUAUCAGCAGCCAUCAGCUGUGAAGUAGCACUUAGACUAUUUUUCAGAGAUUUAAUUGGCGAUUUGUGGCUUAAUAUGUGCAAAAACCUGACAUGUCUUGCUAAAAGAUGACACACAUUUGACUCCAGCAGUGUGGAAACUAGAUAUUUGAAGUUCCUUUCAGCCUGCCUUACAUUCUGACAUUUGAAAAAUUGCAUAUUAAAAAAAGUAUUAAAUAUUAAUAUUUAUCUUCUGAUGUGAAGCCCAACAUCAAAGCACAAUGGGAAUAGUUAUGUGAUGUUUAGCAAUCUGAAGUCAAACAUAUGCCACUUCUUAUCAGAAUCUGGCAAUGGGCUUGUGACAGUAUAGUUGUCUUCAACAAUCUGAGUUUCAAACUGGGGGUGAAGGGGGUGGGAUUGCCUUGGGGUGUAGUGUGGUAAGCCCAGAUUUUAGUGUUAAAGUAAAAUAGAGCAUCCUCUUCAGAACUGCACCCCGGGCUAUUGUGUAACCCUUGUACCUGCUCAAUGGGGCAUUUCAUCCCCUCCUUGCUGGUGGCCAGAGCUCCUGCUGCAGGCAGGGGCUGCAGGCAGGGCCCCUGUCCAGCUGCUCAUACAUAUUUUAUCCUCCUGAUAGGAUAUGUAUUCUCCUUUUCAUACCAUCCUAAUUCCCUUCCCUGCUAAUCUGCUAUUUAGUGACCUUGUGUUUGUUUAUUCUUCAGAAUAAGCUCUGCAGACCGAAGUGAUUUGCCCAAGGUCACCAAGGGAGACCCAGGACAGCCAGGCACAGACUCCAGCCCUGCUAAUGGUGCCUCGUUUGUUCCAGGGCUGUGCCAUUUUACACACGUCUGUGGAGACCUUAAUUUAGGACAGGUGAAUCUGCAGAGAGUGGAAGUCUGAACAAGAUCUGCACCAGCAUCCAAAAAUCAGAUGCUUGUCCAAAUUAUUCAGACCUCAGAAGUAUGUAAAACUGAGUGGAAUGGGGAUGAGAGCUUGUUUUCUCUCAAAAUUUCUCAUUUCACAAUUGGCCAACACAGAAAAAAGAAUGGGGAUUUUUGCUGCAUAUUGGCACUUUUAGUCUCAGCUUGACUAUAGCAAUGAUCUCUCUCCAGCCCUGCCCUGAUAAGUGCACAAUUAAGAACCUCAAAAAAGGUUUUUGAUUCUGAAAGUAGCUGUAUCCUGUGUCUCUGCUUUUUACAGAGAACUUGGUAUUGUGGCUUAAGGGGGAAGAUAUGGCUUAUGAAGUCAGUAGAGUAACGUGUUAUUCCACUGUUUUGUAGUAGGUCUUUUAGUAGUUUAACUGUUUCAAAGUGCUUAAUCUAUUUGUUCUUGCCACAGAAGUUCUUAUUACAGCUUUCCAUGCUAUUUGGUUUUUUUCCACGUAGGGUAAUCAACCAUUAAAAUAUCUAGAUAGGUGACUAGACAGCAAAAUUCACCUAUCUGAGACACUAACACAGAAAUUAGUGAAAAUCUGGUAUUUGAGACUUAAUAUUACCAACUUCUCAAAUUCUUUCCAGUGGAAGUUUUCAAUGUGCAAACCCCAGAGGAUCAGACCUGACAAAUGUAUAUUCUUCUGCAAGUAGCCAUGGGGGGUGACAAAAGUGAGGAUUAUCAUGAUAAAGGGCAUGUUUUGGUAUUUCAUUAUUCACUUACUGUGGUGUAUAUGUGGAAAAAGUGGAGCAAACAGGAAGAGUCUGCUAAGGGGAAGGGUUUUUUUCCCCGCAAAAUACAUAUGUAUCAAUAGUAAAUGCCUACAGUGGGUCCACCAAAAAUAGGUCUCUCUGAAGGAGAGAGGAGAAACAGCUCUACAAAAUCAUUCAAAGGCAGUUUAGACAGUUGUAUUCUGUUUUAUAGUUCUCUCUGUAAGUGUAUUUUACAUGGAUAUAGCCCCAUCUAUUACAUGAGCAAAGUCUAAACAGCUCUUCCAUUGACAGAUUAGGAGGAAUUUAGCCAAAUCAUUCCUCCAUAAAUGCUUUCUAUGUAGUCAUUCAAGAAGCUCUUCAGAUUCGUUCCAAAUUCAUUGGAAUAAUGAGUGUGAAGGCCUAAAUUCAUUCACUGAAUCAGCACCUGAAAACUCUUGUCUGCUAUCCCUCUUCUGAGCAAACACUCUCAGCCUCAACACCCUUGUUCUGGAUUCUUUUUUGCAGUUUGAAUGGUUUGUUACAGCAAUAAACAGGGAGUGCUUUGGAUUUCUGAUUGAGAUUGCAUUUGUUGCACAUAAUCUUUUUUAUAACACUUAUAUUUGUUAAUGAGUACAGCGGAGGAAUCUGUCAAAAUUAGUUAUGCAUUGAUGUUAAAUUCAAGUUUAGAAUAAGUGUGAAUUGUGUAGCCUGGUUAAAUUAUGAAUUGACAUUUAUCAUCUGCCAUCCUAACUCUUACAUGGAACAGAAGAGAUUAAGUAGAUCCAUACUUUAGACAAGAUUAAGCAAUGUUUUUCUGUUAAUCAAGUAGCUUAUGACCACCUUUUAAUAAAAAUCUUUGCUUUGAUCAGGAUACAGAGCAGCAAGCAGACUGCAGCUACCAGAGGAAAUAUGAUAGUAUUCUGCUUCCUUCAGCCUUUUAAAGUUGCAAGGAAGUGUUUCAUCUGCAGGCACGAAGGAGCAAAACCAAAUCUUCUGUCAUUAAGGUCAGUGAAACUACGUUUGUUUUCAUCUCCUUGACUGAAUGAAAUCCCAAUUCUUUGAUGACAAUUUGCUUUGAUGACUUGUGCUACCAAGUAAAAUGAUUCUGUCGUUUCACUGUCUUAUUUCCAUAAUAUUACUGUUUUGCUAGGAAAAGUAAAGUCUCUUACCUUUCUGCUGUUCUUGAAAAUAAUACUUUGGUUUUCACAAUGUAUUUCCAGAGGUCUCUCAACUGUUAUUUGUCAAUAAUUUUGUGUUUAGCAUUCUAGCAUUACGCAUAAAUAAUCAAGUUUACCUUAUUAGGGUAAUUUAACUUACCAUUCAAUCCUGUGUUUUUAGGGAAGGACAAUCUGCCUCUUUUAUUCAUGCAUAUAGUCUAUCCCUCUCUUUGAGGCAUUACAGACUCUGCCUUAUUGGCCAGAUUUUUCUCCUGCUUAAUACACUGAAUAGACCAUCCAAUCCCUCUCUUUCAAAACAUUUCUAGAUGGUGAUUUAGAGAGACAUUCUAGCUUGUUACAUAUUAACCAGCAAAUGUACCUAUCCAUUACAAUUACUGACUUUAUGGCAUUGCAAAAUUUCUAAGGGGGCCUGAAAAUACUUUUGUUAUCUCCAUUUCCCUCCCAGCUAUGCCAGAUUCUAUGCACAGAUCAUGUUCUCUCUGUUUUUCAGUUCUGCAUAUAUAGUCAUGUAGAUAAUGAGUUCAGGACAGGAUCUGCUUGGUGCAUUUUAUGCAGAAGACAUUCAGUUAAGUCAUUGGGGGGUCCCUUGUCCCACAUGCAGUUUUGAACCAUUUACUUCUGACCUCUUUUUAAGUUUUAUUCUGUAUAUUUAAGGAAAACCUUUGAAAAAUUAUGUUCUCUGUAUUCUUUCCAGGAAGGCUGACUUCCUUGUCUAUUUGGGAUGCAGAGAAGGGCAGGCAGGAAAUGAUGAAGCUUUGUAAUCAUAAGGGAACUUGAUAAUUGCUUCCAGCAAUAGAUUGGGUCAAGAACAAAAGUCAUAAGACAAUAUUGGGGUCCUUUGGGUACGUUUGCUGUGUUUGUUGUGUAGUUUAAAGCUAACUGAGCUAUAUUUAACCCAGAUAACUUAAGUACCUUCAGCACUCUAACCUGACAGCACAGAGCUCAGCUGUGCUGAUUAGAUGUACAUAAAAAGAAUGGCAGUGUCAGGUCUCUGCAGUGGAUGAUCCUAUCCAGCAAUAACAGAUCACAUGAAUCAUUGUACUGAUAUCUACCUUGGAUUUUAUGGUUAAAUUAACUAGGAUAAAUGCAAUAUACUGAAUCUCUGAAGGUCUGACAUUUUUUCUUAUGUACAAUCUGAAGCAGUACAUAUAUAUUCACAAAACUGUUUAUGUUUUAUAAUUCAACUGGACCGGUGUAGAUUGAUGUUGGCUUUUCCUCUGUUAUAUUCUUCAGACAGGAGAUUCAUGUCCUUCCCCGUACAAUCAAGUAUUUCAUGUUCCAAAUGGCGCUUGAGGUCUGCUGUUCCACUCUCUGCCUCUGCCUAGUAUAUAGGGCAAAAGAAAUAACAUGUAUUUUUUCAGAAUACAUGAAAAAAGAAAACAGCUGCUGUAACUGAUCUCCUUGUCUUAGCUCCUCGUUGCAAACAGAGCUGUUUAGCAAAAGUGACAGUGCCUAAAAUUCUAAUGCCAGCCUUCUUAAAAACUGAAUUGAAUUUCUGUCAAGUAUUGUCACACUUGCUAAACAGCUGUGUAUAUGAGGGUGACCUUGAAUAUCCAGAUUUGAGUCUCUGCUUUCACUGUUUCACUUCUGCUUUGAUAGGCUCUCCCAUGACCAAUUCUUCAGUGACAGUCCAGAUCUGUACAAAGAUCCAGAACACUGUACAAAGUUGCAGGAGCAGCAGAACCAGCUGUGGAGAGGGGCUGGAGAGUACAGAGCUCUGCAGUCAGCUCUGGACCCUUGUCCCUCUUGGGGACUAGGUACAAAUGGGAGAUGCUGGGGGACUGGGACUGUGGUGAUGUUGAUUUGGAGUUCUGAGCAGAUUGGGAGAUCUAUCAAAAAAAUACUCAUGUGAGUUACACAGUGUUUGCAAAGGACCACAUCAAGUUUUCACAGAGAAGCAAUGUACUUUCCUCAUAACCAGUCAGUAGUAGAGCACCUGCUCUUCUUGGAAGGAAUUUCAGCACAUGGCUGUUGCAAAUAGUAUUUUGUCAGGCUGGGCACAAGUCUACAGAUUCUGAUUUGGCAGUACUCACCGAGGUCUCCACCUGGAGAAGCCAGGCAUAGGAAACAGCAGGUCCGAAAUCCCUCCUGAUGUUGCUCAGGGGGCUGACCCUGAUGUGUGUCCUAUGGAGGGCAGGAGGCUCAGGCAACUCCACCCUGCCACUGCCACCAGGAGAGCUCUGCUUGUUUCCAGGCA